AUUAAAGGAACAAAUGCAAUCUUUAUUUUAGAAAUGACUUAAACAACAAAACAGUUUAUUCAAACAUCUCCACUUUACAUUGCACAAACGGAGAAGGGCUAACAAGCAUAAAUUCAAGUGAUAUGGAAUGAUUGACAACAAACACAUAUAGAAGCAAUAUAUCUCUGGUUCUAAUGGUGAAUUCCACAAAAACCUGGCCUAUAAAUAAAGAAAAUGAAAUACUGUCUUUUCUUUUCAAAAGGUUUGACUGGAGACAAAAUGAUGGAAACAAAAACUGAGAUCAUCUCAGAAUCAAAACAAAAUAAAUAAAUUGUUUAAACGUUGAAAACAACAACUAUGUACAUUAGUUUAAUUAAGGCAACAAUAAAAAGUCUAUAAAACAUUUCACAGUUCAAAUAUCCCAAUAACAAUCUCAUAGGGGCAUUAGAUUGACACCUACAAUACUCAUAGACUAUUUCAGCAGAUCAUAAGGCCUCAUUGAAAUAUGCAGUCAAAUAUAUAAAAAUAUAGUAAUGAAAGUAUUUUGGUUCCUAAAGAAAAUAGGAGUGAAAUUCAUCUUCAGCCCAGCAAGACAUUAAUAAGGAAACAGAAAUCUAAACAUGAGACUUACUAGAAAGAAAAAGAAAUAGAGGGCUCAAUCUAAGAUUCUCACUAAGAUCUCUCAAAGUCAGCAAAUUCCUCUUGUGAUUCUAUUGCUUCGUUGCAAUGUAUUUCACAAGGAUAAAAGUAAAUAAGAAAUCCAGACUAAAUGUCAAAUCUACAAGAGAUUUCCCAACAUGCUGUAAUAAAAGAAACUUCAUGCAAAUUCAAACAUCACAACAAUCAAAUAAAAGAAAGCAAAUAGUGAUAACUAAAAGAAUAAAACAUAUACUAACAAAAUAAUACAAAUAUAUCUCAAGAAAUGACAAACAUAAAAUAGUCUCAAUUACCAGGGGAAAAAAUAAGGAUGACAACAGUGGCAAUCACUGGGGGGGUGGAGACCAUACGGGAUAACACUCAAAUAGAAAACAAUUUAACAAUUGUUAAAACUGACUUUAAAAAAAGGAUUGACUGUAGCUAGGUACCUACCCAUAUAUGUUAAUGCACUUUUAAUGUAUACAUAAAGAUUUUAAUAUAUUUUAUUGACUUUUUUUUUUUUUUUUUUU